CGUGCAGCCACCUGCGGCACCUGCGCACUGGGAGCGACACGCUCGGGCAUAAGUAGUGCCGGAAAGUUAGCUGCCGAGACCUGGUGGAUUGCUUUUCGUUUAUCAGUGCAGGAAAACAGCGCUAUAGUACUGCGUCACAACUAGCGCAGACUCCGGCAGUAUUUAGGCGGUGCGGCUUGGGAACUAGAAUCCGCUUCCUGUCUUCCGCCUCAGGCUAGAGGGCGAGCGCUUCGCCGUGGGACUUCCUCUGCCUGGCUCCGCCUCUUGCCCCGGAAGUACUCACAGCGGACGGUGGUUUUUGAGCCCGUUUCUGAGCAGCGCUUCCUUUUUGUCCGACAUCUUGGCGAGGCUGCGGUGUCUGCUGCUAUUCUCCGAGCUUCGCAAUGCCGCCUAAGGACGACAAGAAGAAGAAGGACGCUGGAAAGUCGGCCAAGAAAGACAAAGACCCAGUGAACAAAUCCGGGGGCAAGGCCAAAAAGAAGGUAGAAAUAAGACCUCUCUGAGAGAGACUAGGGGUAACUCUCUCGUAACUCUCUAGUAAUAGGUAACUUGUAUAGUAAGUGGUUUUUCAGGUGUAGAUUUCUAGAGUCAAAAUGUGAGAGUUUAUCUUCCCGUCACCACUCGUUCUUUUUCCCAUUAGGAUCAUGAAAAUGAGUCUGUUGUGCGAAGUGUCUGCCGCUGUGCCUGCUGUGUUAUUUUUAACUGAUCUAGUGGGGCUCGGCCCCUGUUCUGAAGGCCAAAAACGUGUCGGUGGUUUUUUUUUUUUUUUUUUAGUAAUGUGUAAUUUAUCUUUGAUAACGGUGGAACAGAUUUCUCUGACGCAGAUUACUCGAGAGGGAAAGGGUGCUUCUGCCAGAAAUACUAACUUGUUUCUGUUUUGUUUUGGUGAGCAGAAGUGGUCCAAAGGCAAAGUUCGGGACAAGCUCAAUAACUUAGUCUUGUUUGACAAAGCUACCUAUGAUAAACUCUGUAAGGAAGUUCCCAACUAUAAACUUAUAACCCCAGCUGUGGUCUCUGAGAGACUGAAGAUUCGAGGCUCCCUGGCCAGGGCAGCCCUUCAGGAGCUCCUUAGUAAAGG
rnacentral:sRNA from 1 species